rnacentral:lncRNA from 1 species
CGGCAGGCGUUCGCGGCUAUCGAGCUCCCUUCCAGCUUCAGCGCUGCCGCUGACGGAGAGAGAGAGGCCUGGCUGCUGGCUCCUGGCUGCUGGCCAUGCCAUAAUUACACAGGUAGAUAUGAGUUUGAUGGCGUGACUCUUGGUAUAAAACGCGAGGCAGGAGGCUGGGCCACAUCAGAGGCGCAGGAAAGAGGAAAAGGAACCCGGCAGAUAUGAUGCGAUCCUCAGCCCUCUUCAUCUGCCUGGUCCUGCUGUGUCUGCAGCGCUCCAGUUCCAUUCUCGAUGUUACUCUACCUCCCGCCACCACGACUCGUGUCACUACCACAGUGGGUUCUACUACCAGUAGUACCACUCGGAACCCUUCAAACACAACAACCCAGAAAGCGAACCACACCGAAUCCACCACUCCGAAUACCAGCCGCACCACGGCCAACCACAGCCUUUCCACCACCACUGUCAACGCUACCGUCUCCAAACCUGCGAACACAACACAGCCAAGGGAUACCACCCAGAAAACCAGCAGCGAUUCCACCACACCUAACCACGCCCCUCCUGGUGGAACCUCAGCCUGGCCGUCCUCCUGUAACCUACUCGGCUUCCUGAUGGUAUCGCUGCUGUGGUGCCAAAUGUAGGCCGCUCCACCUCAGCCUUGGAUAUGGUGGCUGCAAUGAAGGCCACUUGCAUUUCUUCUUUUGUUGAUUCUUGCUUUUUUACUUUUUAAAGAAAGAAUACAUACACCAACAUCUCGACUGGGUACCCGUUGGCGCACAAAUGAAAUUCAAGUGAACUAAAGACUUAUGCUCCACUCAGACCUCUGUGGUCCAUCAUAGAAUGUCACCUACUAUUGCCAACCCCCCACACAGGGCAAACCCCAGUCUGGGCUGAUCACCUUCCUUCAUCAUGCUUCCUUCACUCGCACUCUGCAUGCAAUGCCUUCCAUCAUCCUUAACAUUAAAUUCUUAUUCAUAAGACGAUUGCCAAAUCAAUGAAAUGUACUUUAAGCCUAACAAAUUACGAUAUAAAAUAUUAUUGACACUACUGAAUAAACCUACUUACAACCUAUAUAAAUAUGUGCGU